GAUGAACGCUGGCGGCGUGCCUAAUACAUGCAAGUCGAGCGAACGGACGAGAAGCUUGCUUUUCUGAUGUUAGCGGCGGACGGGUGAGUAACACGUGGAUAACCUACCUAUAAGACUGGGAUAACUUCGGGAAACCGGAGCUAAUACCGGAUAAUAUUUUGAACCGCAUGGUUCAAAAGUGAAAGACGGUCUUGCUGUCACUUAUAGAUGGUUCCGCGCUGCAUUAGCUAGUUGGUAAGGUAACGGCUUACCAAGGCAACGAUGCAUAACCGACCUGAGAGGGUGAUAGGCCACACUGGAAGUGAGACACGGUCCAGACUCCUACGGGAGGCAGCAGUAGGGAAUCUUCCGCAAUGGGCGAAAGCAUGACGGAGCAACGCCGCGUGAGUGAUGAAGGUCUUCGGAUCGUAAAACUCUGUUAUUAGGGAAGAACAUAUGUGUAAGUAACUGUGCACAUCUUGACGGUACCUAAUCAGAAAGCCACGGCUAACUACGUG
rnacentral:rRNA from 1 species